GACGAGGUGGCCGAGUUGUUAAGGCAAUGGACUGCUAAUCCAUUGGGUUCUGCCCACGAUGGAACGAAUCCCAUUCUCGUUU